rnacentral:rRNA from 1 species
AGUGAACGCUGGCGGUAGGCCUAACACAUGCCAGUCGAACGGCAGCACAGUAAGAGCUUGCUCUUACGGGUGGCGAGUGGCGGACGGGUGAGGAAUACAUCGGAAUCUACUUUUUCGUGGGGGAUAACGUAGGGAAACUUACGCUAAUACCGCAUACGACCUACGGGUGAAAGCAGGGGAUCUUCGGACCUUGCGCGAUUGAAUGGGCCGAUGUCGGAUUAGCUAGUUGGCGGGGUAAAGGCCCACCAAGGCGACGAUCCGUAGCUGGUCUGAGAGGAUGAUCGGCCACACUGGAACUGAGACACGGUCCAGACUCCUACGGGAGGCAGCAGUGGGGAAUAUUGGACAAUGGGCGCAAGUCUGAUCCAGCCAUACCGCGUGGGUGAAGAAGGCCUUCGGGUUGUAAAGCCCUUUUGUUGGGAAAGAAAAGCAGCAGGUUAAUACCCCGCUGUUCUGACGGUACCCAAAGAAUAAGCACCGGCUAACUUCGUG